rnacentral:lncRNA from 1 species
AUUAUGUAGAAGUUAGGAUGUGCUGAGAUCAGUUUAAGACCUUCUAUAAAAAUUUAAGUUAUAGUGUUAGGAUUUACUUACAAAUUGAAUGUCGAGUUUAUUUGAUCAAUUGGUGUCUAGGUAAGUGUUAUAGAUGAUUUUCUAAUUAGGUCCAUAUGCUAGCCUAGCCAAUUAUGUUGGUAUCUAAGAAAAGCUACGAAAAGCUUCCAACCUACUUACCUGACCAAUUUGGUCUAAUUGAGUUUCGAACUUAGAUUGAUUAGUGAUGUAGACACUACAAAGGCUUUCCUUCAUGCUUAGUCAAUAGAGUAUGUCA